ACGUACUACAAGAUCAGCUCCUCGGUGGGCUGAAAGAUGGUCCUCAGUUUGAAUUUUCAAGGAAAGAAGAAAUUAAUUAUAACAGGGAGUCAUGAGGGACCCAGAAGAAAGCUGAUCCAAGUGCUACAUGGGGAUUUUAGGGACACAAAGUGAAGGGUGGGAGGAAGAGCAGCUGCACAUCUCCACCACAGGACACACACCAGUCCCAUCUGAGCUGCAAUCCUUUAGCUCAUCUCAAGCCCAGCUCCAAAAAAACCCCUCUGCCUUUCAAGCCUGCUCAUUCCCACAGCAGGGGGCAAAAGCAAUGCUGUUUUCUCAGACUCUGAAGCAGUUGCCAGUGGCUCCAUCUUCCUGGUGUGCAAGUGAGAUGCCCAAAUUCUGUCAUCCCUGUCAUCCAAAGAGCCUGUUUGGAGCAAAAGAGCAGCAUAAGCACAUCUUGGAUUUCACCUGCAGCCUGUCACAGCGUGCUACCUUCAGCAGCCCAAAAGGGAAAUGACCUUUCUGGCUUUUGACGAGAGGAAUCCAACGAGCCACUCACCAUCCUGCUUCCCACCCCACCUCUAAUCUCAUGUGAAAUCUUGUCAGGAACACAACAUAUUCAAUUUGUCAGGCCUCAGA